rnacentral:rRNA from 1 species
CGGAAGAUGUAACGGGGCUAAGUAGUAAACCGAAGCUGCGGCAAUGUGCUUUUGCACAUUGGGUAGGGGAGCGUUCUGUAAGCGGUUGAAGGUGUGUGGUAACGCAUGCUGGACGUAUCAGAAGUGCGAAUGCUGACAUGAGUAACGAUAAAGGGGGUGAAAAACCUCCUCGCCGGAAGACCAAGGGUUCCUGUCCAACGUUAAUCGGGGCAGGGUAAGUCGACCCCUAAGGCGAGGCCGAAAGGCGUAGUCGAUGGGAAACGGGUUAAUAUUCCCGUACUUCUUACAAUUGCGAUGGGGGGACGGAGAAGGCUAGGUGGGCCUGGCGACGGUUGUCCAGGUUCAAGUGCGUAGGCUUAAGAGUUAGGUAAAUCCGGCUCUUUUUAAGGCUGAGACACGACGUCGAGCACCUACGGGU